AUGGUUGCACAUGAUUUCAUUGUUAAGAACAGGAAAAAGGAGCUUAACUAUAGACUGUUAUUUGAUAAAAAUCACCCUGAGACUAUUACCUUGCCUGCUCCUUCCUUGUUUAACUUAUCUACAGGCAAGUACCUUGUUCCACUGGAGGCCAUUCACGCCUACCGGAACCCCACAUCAGCUACAGAGCCAGAUCCGGAACCACAAUUUGAUCCUUCACGACAGUCUAUUUAUCAAUGGAAUCCGAAGGAGAUUGCCAGCCAGUGGCAACCCGAGGCUUCAUCUCAGUACGACCCCAGUUACAACUUCGGAUAUGCGCCAGGCCAGCAGUGGCAAUAG
rnacentral:rRNA from 1 species